rnacentral:rRNA from 1 species
GACGAACGCUGGCGGCGUGCUUAACACAUGCAAGUCGAACGGAAAGGCCCUGCUUUUGUGGGGUGCUCGAGUGGCGAACGGGUGAGUAACACGUGAGUAACCUGCCCUUGACUUUGGGAUAACUUCAGGAAACUGGGGCUAAUACCGGAUAGGAGCUCCUGCUGCAUGGUGGGGGUUGGAAAGUUUCGGCGGUUGGGGAUGGACUCGCGGCUUAUCAGCUUGUUGGUGGGGUAGUGGCUUACCAAGGCUUUGACGGGUAGCCGGCCUGAGAGGGUGACCGGCCACAUUGGGACUGAGAUACGGCCCAGACUCCUACGGGAGGCAGCAGUGGGGAAUAUUGCACAAUGGGCGGAAGCCUGAUGCAGCAACGCCGCGUGCGGGAUGACGACCUUCGGGUUGUAAACCGCUUUCGCCUGUGACGAAGCGUGAGUGACGGUAAUGGGUAAAGAAGCACCGGCUAGCUACGUG